rfam:Gossypium raimondii Chr08_contig_1321, whole genome shotgun sequence.
UGUUAAUAAUUUCAUCAAUUUAUACUGUUAAAAAUGGCGCGACUGAUAGAAUAACCAGAAAAUUAUACGUUGUGUACCAUGUGUACCUCAUUUUGAUGUACUCAGACUAAUUUUUAACAAUAAAAAUGAAUAGAACUUUUAACA